GCUCCUGGACGCUGUCUCUGAUCUGCGCCUCUAGCUGCAAGAACUUCAAAAGGAACAAUUAGGAAGAAGCGAAUGCACAUAUUUCAAGGAAGGAGGGGGAGUAAAGACUGCUAACUGAAGAGAUCUCUGAUAAACAAGACGGGUCAGAGGAACAAGAAUCAAUCAUGAGAAGAUAUGCCAAGACUCGGUAUGGCAAAGGGACUGGAUGGGGGAGGGGGAAAAAACUUUCCUUUCUUUCCUCUAUGUGAUUAAACAAGAAUCCCCCCCCUCACAAGUCAGAAAUGCCGUUUUAAUGACUUAAGCUGUGGAUUUAUGACUGUGUGGAGAUAAAUUUUCUAACCAAAGCAUGUUUUAAGAAGAGUGUGGAAAGUUUAAGAACUUUGGAAUGACGCAGUUAAAAAUACCGUCGCCAUAUUGGCAAGCUCUGUCGGAGGACUUGAGUCUGGGAGGAGGAAAAGAGCUGUUUUUAUAUUGUGGGUGAGACUCCUCAGUGGGACUUAAGAACGACAGAUCCUGAGAUUAAUGAUGGAAAGAGCGAUGUUAUUUAUGAAAGUGAUGAUAUAUGGAAACCAUCUCGAUAUGAGGAUUGGACGAAUGGAAAAAUCCACACAGGAUAUAAUUGGUGUUUAUCUGCUUUAGGAGAUUAUCAGAAGAGAUCAU